rnacentral:tRNA from 1 species
GUUUCUGUAGUUGAAGGACAACGAUGAUUUUUCAUGUCAUAGGUCGUGGAUAUAGCCAUGCGGAAAUU